CCUCUUGACUUCACCUGCCAACACUAACGUUAACGCAUCCCUUGUACUUGAACCACUUCCUGUCAGAUCGCGACAUAUGCUGUUAGCCGCUACAUAUA